AUCAUUCCUUAUUUAACUAAGUUACAAAGUAAAAAAAGUAAACACUCAAAGGUAAAAAGAAAAAAAAGGAUUAACCGUUGCAAUUUUCUUUGUAUAAAAAGAGGGAACUAGUUGUUACAAAAUUCAUAAGAACACCAUUUUCUCUCCAUCACAAUCUUCACACCCUCCCCAUUUUACUUCCUUCCAAAAAAAUAUAUAUAUGAAGCAAACUACACACAAAAUCACCCUCUUUGCCGAGAUCACCGCACACGGUGGCGCAUCGGUUAAAAACCACCGCAAGAACUACGGCAUGCAUCUUGAUGCCGAUGCCAUCUCCGCACUGAGGCUAUGGGGUGACAAUGGUGUCAAGUGUAGGCCCAUGUGCUGUACCAACAGAAAUUCUCGCACUUUUCUUAUUCAUCACCAAAGCACGAUGAACAACACUCUUAUAUUUUCCAUUCGUAAGUAUCUAAAGACAAUAAUGAAAAUUUUAUUAGUGUAACCGAUACUCAAUAGACAUGUAAAUUUGAAUUGUAAAAGUUUAAUUCUAAUCAUAUUUUGAUCCAAUUUAAUAUCACUCACCUAACAAUUGAUUAGUAGGUGUUGACAAA